AAAAAUUUUAAUUUUAAAAAAUAAAAAAAAAAAGUAGCCAUAAAAAUCAGCACUGAAUGAUGGCCUACAGCCUGAAAAGAAAUUAAGCAAGAUUGGAAAUAAAUACACCCAAGUAAAAUCUAAACUUUCAGAGCCAGCAAACUUCAGGCAAUUGCAAUUUCAGCAGCUACGGGGAAGUUUUAUUUUAUUCUUUAACUUCUCAAUCGUGCCUACUGGAAGUACUACAACCCAGGCUCAAGCUCUCAGGCAGAAAAGAAGAAAACAAACAAACAAGUUUCUGGGAGAGUUUAGAAGUCAAGCAUCUUCUAUGGCCCCAGAAGAAUGCUCCCACUAUGUAAACACACAAAAGGAAGAAGCAGGAUUAAGCAACUCAAAAAUCUAUAGCAACAUGAGGUAGUAAAACCUCAGCCAGUAAGUAUGCUACAUCAGACCUCCUUGAAAAAACGGCCUGAGACCAUAAUAAGCUUUGAGAUGUGUGCCUUGCACAUACACAUACAAAAAAGUGUUUUAAGAUUACAACCCCAAUAAAACAUCAAGAAGUUCUUCCA